UACACUAUUUCAUUGUUUUGAUAAGAAAAAAACCGGCUAAAGGUUAAAUACCGUUGCGAAUUGAAUAUGGGCUUGCCGGAUUUACGCCCGGCGUGUAAUUAGUCGAGAAGUACAGGAAUUCUAAUAGAGAGGUUCGAAAUUGUUGGACUUUCACGAGACGCAUUUAAAAUACCCGCCACAAUGACAGCUAAUUAAAUUGUCAGUUGGCGAUUGCAUUUUUCGUUUUUCGGUUCGUUGCAUAUCUGAAGCGAAUUAAUGCUAAGUGAGAAUGCGAGAUAUGCGACUAAUGAUGGGUUCUAAUAACCCAACAAACCCAUUGCGACCAUUUUCAGUUUCAAUACGAACCCAUAACUGGGUUAAUUCUAGGUACAGCUGCUUGGACACACUUUUCUAAGGCUAUUAACGAAUUAAGUGUUGAAAUAGCUCAUUAUCGGAGAGGAAGGAGAUUACAAAAUUGACUGAAAGUUAAUAGGACAAUAAAAUAUAUGAAUAUAAAUUGUGGCGAACGCUGAUGAUUGAUGGGUUCGACAGGAAUUGAAAUUGGACUUUCACAAACAAACACGGCAUAAGUCCAACCAAAUUGGCCUCUAAACCAAAAUCUUGAUUUUUUUCAUAACGUUGAAUAAAUAUGAAAAACAAAACGCCUAGUACUUAUCAUUGAGAAAAAAAAUUGUUGACGCUCUUUAUCUACUACCACUGCUUUAUAAUCUGUAAAUUACGUAAGUAUGCAAAAUUCCAUUUGAUUCUGACUACAGGAACCCUCUUAAAUUUGGCUCGGAAAAAAUGAAACAGACAGACAGACAACAAAGCAAGUUAAAUCAAAAUUUUUAAAAAGAACUGUUCUUAAGUACCUAGCAAUACGAGGAGUGAGCAAAUUUACAAUAUUCUACAAAAUUUUCAAGAAAAAAUACUAACGAGAAAUAAAACAAUAUAGGACCAUAAAAAAGCAACAUUCAAGACCUCGAAACCUCGAUAUCUGAAAUUUUUUGAGGUACAGUCAGGAUCAAAAAGCAGCCACAAUACGGCUAAUGUGUACGUUUAACUAGUUUACAAACUAGCUAAAUAUUGCUGGACCGUUUGUAAAUUGAAGGACUUGUUGAAAUUUAUGACCUAAAAGAUUUUAAUCGGCCAUUUGCUAUUCGAGUAAAGGAAAAAUUGAAAAUCGUCCAAACUUUGAAGUUGGAUUCUUAUUUGAAUGGACAAAGUGUUUAGCAAAAGCAGUGUUAGAUUACAAAUGGGGCUGCGUGCGUGUGGACACGGAAAGCUAAAUUUAUGCGAAACGGCACAAGGUCCAGCCAGAAAAGGCUCGCGUCGAAUCUGUCGAUCGAUAAAUCAUCUCGAAAUAACUCCUCGGAGGAGGAGGAGGAGGAAAAAGAUGGAGAAAGAGGAGCGUCGAAAGGCAGCGCCUGGCCGACGUAGUUGGCUCGUUUUUAAUUGUUAUGGAUCAGUAAUUAAACAAAUAAAUUA